AUUGAACGCUGGCGGCAUGCCUUACACAUGCAAGUCGAACGGUAACAGGUCUUCGGAUGCUGACGAGUGGCGAACGGGUGAGUAAUACAUCGGAACGUGCCUAGUAGUGGGGGAUAACUACUCGAAAGAGUGGCUAAUACCGCAUGAGAUCUACGGAUGAAAGCAGGGGAUCGCAAGACCUUGUGCUACUAGAGCGGCCGAUGGCAGAUUAGGUAGUUGGUGGGAUAAAAGCUUACCAAUCCGACGAUCUGUAGCUGGUCUGAGAGGACGAUCAGCCACACUGGGACGGAGACACGGCCCAGACUCCUACGGGAGGCAGCAGUGGGGAAUUUUGGACAAUGGGCGCAAGCCUGAGCCAGCCAUGCCGCGUGCAGGAUGAAGGCCUUCGGGUUGUAAACUGCUUUUGUACGGAACGAAAAGCCCUGGGUUAAUACCCUGGGGUCAUGACGGUACCGUAAGAAUAAGCACCGGCUAACUUCGUGCCAGCCGCCGCCGUAAAAC
rnacentral:rRNA from 1 species